UGAAUCACAAGACAGGACCAUCAUUCGAAACUCGUAGCAAUCUUUGUUCGGAGCUAAAGUGUAAAUUUUCAAUCUUUGAUGCAGACAAUGCUUGGUCUUGUGAUCAGCCAAUCUUUAAGUGAUUUUUCUCUUCUGUUACUGUUCCAGUUUAACAAUAUUCAAAGGAAUAUAUGAAUCAGUUUUUUUGUUUUUUUUUACAGUAGCCUCCAAACAAAGAAGGGCAAACCUUGCGCCGUUCUCCUCUUGAAGGUCCUUUUAAAUUAUGGUAAUUUUCUAUGGGACAAGAAAAUUGUCACAGAUGUAGCACUAGAAAUGAAGAGAAUAAAAUCAAUUAUACCUGAAUUGAGGUUGUAUGAUGCUCUCCGUUCCAUACCGUCCUAUCCUUUGCGUGAUGCAAUCUUAGCGCCAGAGUCUUAUGACUUUAGUAUCCCAGGUUACGAUGACUCCAAGACUCUUCCUUAUAGUAAGUUCAUGUGUGAUCUGAACAGUUCACAAUUCGAAGCUGUAAACUACUCUGUAAAAAUGUGCCUGAGCCCAAAACCAAAUGUUUGCUUGAUCCAAGGUGCCCCAGGUACGGGGAAAUCUCUAGUCAUCACUUGUAUAAUUCAGCACCUACUUCGGGUUUUGAAGACUAAUCAUGAGCGGUGCAAUACAAUCCUUGUGUGUGCGUCGUCAAAUGCAGCAGUUGAUGAAUUGGUGUCAAAAUUGGGUGAAACUCGUAAAACACUAGGGGAUGAAAAAUUUAGCUUGGUUCGCGUCGGUACAGGAGUUAGUCCCAAAGGACAUAGUUUUUCUCUUUCUGCCCUGGUGCAAAGGAAUGAAAAGCAACGCACCUCAGACAGUAGCUUUGAGCAACUUAAGAUGGAACUUGAGCUUGUCAAAGCCAAGAAGAAUGCUAAAAAUCUGGCCAUCAAACAGUGUGAGGACCAUCUACUCCAGUACAAGCCGAAAGCUAAGUUGGAACGUGACAUUGCAAUUCUUAAAAGAAAGGAGGAUGAUUUGAAAAAGUUUCAGGACGAGCUCCGAGGAAUAGAGACAGAAGAGCAACAACUUUUAUAUUUGAUGAAACACUUUAAUACUCCAGAAGCAAAAAAGAGAAGACAGAACAGGUCAAAAGAUGACAAUGAGGAGGACUUUCUUCGAAAAGCCCAAGUUGUAGCUGUAACUUUAUCCUCAUGUCUCACAACUCAAUGA
rnacentral:lncRNA from 1 species